UUCAUAGACAACGAUUUGUUUUCGAAGCCUACGUAAUGGCGUUUUCGCCAGGUCUGCAAAAUGACUAAUGCUUCGGGGAAAGUCUCCGGCCGUGACAGCGGAAACGCAACGGAAGAAUUCCUCCGUUUGCACGAUGGCGGGCUGAAGGAAUAAGGCUCGUCACUUUAUCAGCAGUGGCCGCUGGUCUUGGUUUCAAGGAUACGUCAUUUACCUCUGUGGUUUUCUCCAUCACUUAAAUCCAAUACCUGCUUGUUCCUUUGAACUUUAUGAGCUUUGCUCAGGGCAGUUUGUUGGUGGUGAAAACGAGGAAUCACGAGGUCUUUGGCUGUACUUGUUUCUCACAACUGAGCUCACGACCGCUGUUGCUGUGUGGGCACUCUUGAUGCUGCCAUCGUUGCUUCCUCUGGAUUUUUCUGGAGUUUUGUCUUUCGGCACUGGGACGACGUGUCCUAAACGAUAGGUAUAGCAAAUGGCCAAUUUGGCUAACCCAAUGGAGCUCACUCUUGUCUAUGA
rnacentral:RNase_MRP_RNA from 2 species